GGAAUUGUGAUUAUGACAUCAUAGACAGUUCAGCUGCUUGCACUGGGGGAAAGGGAGAGUAUCAUGGUUACAGCUGGAUCACCUAAGGCAGAGAGGGAAGGAACCAACAGGUAUAUGAAGAAGACUGUAUUUCCUCCUCAGGAAGAAAAAAUCACCUAUAAAGUCCCAGAAUGCUGAAAGCCAAUCUUGGAGAUUGUAAGUAGAAAUUUGAAACAUAUCUCACCAGGGAGUUGAUCAAAAUAAGAAAAGAGAACUAUCAAUAAUAAAAUUUCAGUAACUCAGUAACUCCUAACGAAAAGUGCUUUGCUCUUUUAUCACCAAAUUUGUGAGCAUCACAAGUCCAUCAUAUCAGCCACAGAGAAAGAGCUUCCCACUUGUUUUUAUUUUAUUUUUUAAAUAUUGUUUUACUUACAUAAGAAAAGAGGAAUCAGCAGAAACAAAGCCUCCAGAUGAAAGAGGAAAAACUUAAAGACAUAAAAAUGACCAAAAAAGUUACACACAAAACAAUAAUUGAUACUUUGUAAAAAUUUAAAAUUAUACAUAAUGAGAUGUUUAUAA
ensembl:lincRNA